UACGUAGGGUGCAAGCGUUGUCCGGAAUUAUUGGGCGUAAAGAGCUCGUAGGCGGUUUGUCGCGUCUGCUGUGAAAACCCGAGGCUCAACCUCGGGCCUGCAGUGGGGUACGGGCAGACUAGAGUGGCGGUAGGGGAGAUUGGAAUUCCUGGUGUAGCGGUGGAAUGCGCAGAUAUCAGGAGGAACACCAAGUGGCGAAGGCAGAUCUCUGGGCCGUAACUGACGCUGAGGAGCGAAAGCAUGGGGAGCGAACAGG
rnacentral:rRNA from 1 species